GCCCAGACUCCUACGGGAGGCAGCAGUGGGGGAUAUUGCACAAUGGGGGGAACCCUGAUGCAGCGACGCCGCGUGGGUGAAGGAGUGCUUCGGCAUGUAAAGCCCUAUCGGCAGGGAAGAAGCAAGACGGUACCUGACUAAGAAGCCCCGGCUAACUACGUGCCAGCAGCCGCGGGAAUACGUAGGGGGCGAGCGUUAUCCGGAUUCACUGGGUGUAAAGGGAGCGUAGACGGCCAUGCAAGCCAGGGGUGAAAGCCCGGGGCCCAACCCCGGGACUGCUUUGGAAACUGUGCAGCUCGAGUGCAGGAGAGGUAAGCGGAAUUCCUAGUGUAGCGGUGAAAUGCGUAGAUAUCAGGAGGAACACCAGUGGCGAAGGCGGCUUGCUGGACGAUGACUGACGUUGAGGCUCGAAAGCGUGGGGAGCAAACAGGAUUAGAUACCCGAGUAAA
rnacentral:rRNA from 1 species